GCCAGCUCUGUUCAAGGUAACUAUUUUCAGUUUUCAAUAUUUUUUCCUGUUUAUUUUACUCUAGCAUUUGUUUUAUCUUCGAUGUGACGAAUGGAAUUUAAUGUGAAAAAUCAGCGAUCUUGCUUUAUUUUAGGUGUCUAGGGUUUCCUUUCCUUGCGCAAAUGCUUGUUUCUGUUGUUUACUUUCUUUUAGCAGGAUAUUAUUCACCUUAAUCUUCCAUACCUAAUACUUGACAGGCAAUCAGUGGUUGUACUGAGUUAAUUAUUCCUGAAUAAUUGUUGUGUUCAUGUACACAGUGGUUGAUAAUGAUCUAUAUAUAUAUAUAUACCCGCAUGGCUUGCUUAUGCUUUGAUUCUCUUACAACUGGUACUCAGUUGCAUUAUCUUUUACUAGUUGCUUUUGCCCUUUGACAAUUUAAGGAAAGAAAGAUGGUCUAUAAGCUUUUCUCACAUUUCUUAUCAAUAUAAUUUAUAAAUGGAGAAUGCAAAUAUGGUAUAGUAUGUGAAAAGGAUUAAAAUAGGUGGCCCCGCAAAUUUUUUGGUUUUUAACCUAUGAAUAUAAAAGCUUCUCUCACUCUCCGUCUUUCUGAUGUGUUAUUUGUGGAAAUUGCUAUCAAAUAUUGGAAGAAUUUCUGGAAAAACUCCAGUCUAUUAACUUCAAAUUCCUUGAAGAAUUUUUUAUUGUACCUAAUGUGAUGUGCCUUGGAUCCUUAAUUUUGAGUAUUGUUGUUCUUCCGGAAAUGCAGAAAGUAGUUUGCUCGUACAGGAGAUUGAUUUUCAGCAUGAGCGGGCAUUGGAAUUAUUUUUGUUGGAAGUUAUGUUUCAAAUAAUUAAUGGAUGGGAUUAUUUGUGUGUGCAUAGGAUGGGGAGGCAAAUAAUGUGUGUGUGUGGUGAGCGGUAGAGGGUUGUUGAGUUCCUAAUAAUAGCAGAUCGCUUUAUUUUUGAGAUGAGUGCCAAGUUUAGAGGCUGGUACUACGUAUUUUUUUUCCCGUAAAUUGUUUUAGUUUCCUAUUUUCACUUUGGUGUUCUAAUUAAUGGUUUUGUUCCUGGUGAUUGAAAAAUACUCGCAAAUAGUUUUAUUUAUCUCCCUUUUUUGUUCUUUAUUGGCAGUGCAUCUGAUUAAUAACUACCAAUAAUGGCAACAAUGAAUAACUCAGUUUUGGAUCGUGCCUC
rnacentral:misc_RNA from 1 species